AGCAGCCAAUGUUCUCUUGCAUGAGAUUGUCGUUGUAUAUUAUAAUAUUUCCUUGUAGAUAGCAAAAAGAGAUCUAGUCAUCAGAUACCAAGAACUUCGCAUUCAGCCUCCUCAGUUUCACCUCUGCCGCCUUCAUGGACCGUGAAUAAAAUACAAUUAAGGAGACCAAAAUAAUAUCUACUACUUCAUGUAUAAACGAGAAGGGAACCAUAUAUAGUUAAAAUAUUGUAAGAGAAUGUCCUCUAUGGAGAUGGGGCAGAAUAAAUCCCCUCAGGGGAGGAAGAUUUCGGCGUUGUGUCUGGCAUGUCUCUUCCUCGUUAGCGCCUUCGGCGGCGCGCUGUUGGUGCGGUGGUUUCUACUGUUUCACCCGAGAAACGAGCAGCUGUGGAUGGUUCCGGUGGGGCUGGUCUUGAGCAGCACCCCCAUCAUGCUGUGGUUCGCGGACUUCGCUGCUGAGGCCUGAGGUGGGAGGCUGGUGAGCAUAAGCAUGGCAUGAUGGGCUUCUUACGCUUGUAAUUAAAGAACAAGGACUUAGUUGAAGAUUAUUUGAGAGGUAACUGCAUAGUUUAAUUCUCCAUCAAACAUUUGAUGAUGAUGGAAGAUUCUCUAAUGAUUUCUAAUUCUCACAUUGUUUGGUGCUUAUUGAUGAUAAUAAAUUUGAGAGUUGCCUUUUUUUUGGUCUUUCUGAUGAUAAGAGAGGUCGUGAAAGUCGAUCGGAAAUUUGAGAUUGACUGAUUGAUGAGUAGCUUGUUAUUGUGUGCUUACACAAAUUUCAGAUAAUUUCCUAGCUUGUUCAGUUCUCUUUUUACAGUUAAUUUGGCAAGAUAUAAGGACUAUAAGUCUUAGAAUGAUAUAGCAAAUCCUCCAAUUAAUGCUUAGUUUUUUUCUUAUUUUUUAUUUUAUUUAGGGUGCUUGUAUCAAGCGACAAAAGUGUUAUAAUUUGAUAUUACUGUAUGGUCACAUAUGAUCAAUUCAUUAUUUAUUUAUUUAUUUUGAGUAAAGGAGGAGCAAAGCUCCAAUUUUGAUCGUAAUUAGAGAUCACAAAAAGAGAAAGUUAAAAGAGGUAAGAAAGGUUAACUCUGUAACCCUUGGGCAAAUGUAUGGUGACAAAGAUCGAUAUUCACUUUCAUUUGAUCUUUAUCAUCGGAAAAAAAAAAAAAAAACUUUCAUUUCUUGAGAAGGCAUUUAAGAAAUUUUCUAUGAUAAUUCUUAAAAUUAAAAGGAAAAUGUGUAAACUAAUCCAUUAUUUAAUUUACUGCAUCCAGAUAGGUGAUAUAAUUACAAGUAUGCGGUGAAGUUUGGCUAUACAAUGGAAAAAUAAUGCUAGAAAACAAUUUGACAUUGUAAAAUACGAUACCCAUUGGAUAUUUCAUGGAAGAUAGCCUAUAGGGAUAAGAAUAACUUGUUGAGGUACUAACAAGCCUCGAGGUUCAUGAACCUACCGAAUUUGAGGGCAUGCAUUUUUUGUUGUUUGUCCUCUCUUGCCUAGUUUAGACUUGGGGAACCCUAGUCUUUCAUUGCUAGAAUAUUUAUUCUCUUGCAUGAUGAUCGUAGGGAGAAUUUGCUUGAUGUAGCCAAUUGUGGAUUGAACAGUAUAAUGCUUUUAAAAAAUUAGCUCUAAAAAGGGUAAUAAACUUACGUUUUGGCAACUGAAGUCCUAAACCAAAUGCAAUCUCACCAGUUUAGAUGCAUGACCUUCCCUUGCCCAAACCCAGAUCUAUAUUUUUCAAUUUGAGUUUGAUCCUGCAUGGGGCAAGAUGAGGUAAUUCAGGUCGCUGCUGCUUUUCCUUUCAAAAAGAAAGGGAAAGAGACCAUCAACAAGAAGAAGAAGUUGGUCUAAUUAAGGAUGGGUUUGGCCAACAUGCUGAGUUAGGGAUUACAAAGAUGAAGUUGGCUAUGUUGGGUGCCAUGGCUACAAAUAUUAGGGACUACAAAGAUGAAGUUUGCUAUGUUGGGUGGCAUGGCUUGGCCGGGUGAUUGUGAGAUAUUCUUAGAAUGGGAGAGAUUUAUCCUGCAAUCCUACCAAAUAACUUUAGUUUUUUAUAAGAUACAACAAAACUCACCAACGUCGCUUAUCCCUUUAUUUUGAUUUAAGUUGUUGCUGGAGGAGGUAAAAUAAUUUUAACCGCCGAAGAAGUAAAAGACUUAUUCCUUCUCGAUCUUUCUUUCUUUUCCCCCAUAUAUCUUUUUGCACUUAUAAAACUAUCCCUAUCAAUUCCCAACCAAAGAACAAUUUAUUCUUAAUCCACGAAUAAAUUAAGGACUCCUGGAGGGAUAGCUAAGAUUAGGAACGACUAUUCUUGGAUCUUUUGUCCAACAACAAAUGCAGUCUAGAAGGCUACUCGGUUUAUAAAUACCACUAGUGAUGAAGAUAUCAUUGCUACAGAAACUACAUGAACUUCAAGAUAGCCAAGAAUCAGGAAAAAAAAAUUGCAUAGAAUGUACUACAUAAAUAUUCAAUAGACUAAGAAUUGUCUCUAGUGAGCAAAAGUCCACCAUCCCUAGGUUGGGAUCAUCAUUGGGCUGGAUGCGGUUCCCAUAUUAUAGUAUUUCAAGUCAGAUUAAGAUGGGGAGGUGAUUUAUAAUGAGGCUUGGUGGAGCCCUGAACCUCCUUUAAAGGAAGAGUCUAAACUAAAGAAUAGAGAGUAAAGCCAUAAUAUAUAGCUUAAAUAACUAAUAUUGGUAAAAUCACAAUCAUCCAUCAAAUAUAUCCGGUUUUUUCGCUCAUCAACAUUUCAUGGAUAUCAUACUGUUCCUCUCACGUGUCUCGUUACACGUUCCAGUAUCAGGUUGCUAGCUUAUGGGUAGAUUGGAUACCCUGCUCUCCCAUAGAUCCCAUAGAUCUUCCAACGCACGCAAGCGAUAUUAGUAAAUAAUUAAAUUAAUAAAUAAAUCACUGUUCCCGUAUGUAUAUCUUCAAAGCAUCAUCCCAUCAGUGGCCUCGGAGCCCACAAGUUCGAUUAGUCCCCGCUUCACUGUCUGCCGUGCCGCCUUCGGAGACCGCAUCGAACAGUGCCCAUAAAUGAGGAGACACCCCUCGGGCUAAGGCGGAGGCGGCCCUCGCGAUGGAACCGGGGACGGACAAAGACCGGUUCGGCGCCGGCAGGACGUGGAUGGUGGCCGGCGCGUGCCUGCUCCUGGUUGGCCUCGGUGGGGCUGCGCUCUUGGCGUGGUGGGCCUUGGCGUUCCACCGAUCCGACGAGCAGCUCUGGAUGGUCCCCGUCGGUCUGGUCCUCCUCGGCACGCCGCUCGUCGUGUGGCUCUCCGUCUGCGCCGCCAGUCUCUGCCGGAGGCUUGAGUUGCCGGUGACGCCUCCGGCUUUGGACCCGGCCGAGAGGUGAUCCGACGACAGCAGGCAAGAAGAUUGUCUUUUUCUAUUUUUUUUUCUUUUUUUUUUUUGUCCCUUUCCUUUUUUUUUCUUAUUGUCUCUUGUCAUAUGAGCGGAGGCAGGAUUUUUGGUGUAAGGGAGAUCUCUGAACUAAGAUUAGAUACCUCAUAGCUUGAAGCAUCUUCUUCAAAGCUAGAGACUACCUUUUAUUUAGAUAUUCAAGUGUGUGUGUGUAUAUAUAAUUGUUAACACAAUAAAGAAAUGCUAUGGAAUCUGAAAAUGAGAUAAAACUGGAGGCACAUGCUAUCCUGAGUUUGUAUAUUACUACCAUAAUAGUGAUGAGAUGUACGUCGAUUUAUCUAGCAGUGUGUAUUAGCAUACUAAAUGAGUAAUUUAUUUAAUAUAUAUUAUCUGAUCGUAUAUUAAUAAAAAAUAUAUUUUAAAAAUAAGGAGGAAAAAAGAUGACUAAUAAUUUUGUGGGUAGGAAAUCUCUGAUUUUUAGAUUUUUUCUUAAAAAUUGGUAUCAGAAAAAAAUGUGACAAGAUAGAAACUCUGUCCCAUAUUUUUUUUCUCCGAUGUCUAUCCAUGUGAUUUUUGUUCGUAGCAAUGAUUCUAUAAAUGGCAAUGACUCUAUAAAUGGUAGGAAGUUUGUUUUUUUUUCUUUAUUUAGUACUACACAUGCGAGAAGGUCAUUGCCAUGAGUGGCAUGAAGUUAGUUUUAUUGGUAUCACACAUGCAUGGAGGUGCACAUACAUAGAGAACCGUGGGGUGGGGAAGCUUUUUCCAUUCCCAAGUUGGAUUCAAGGGAAACAUCCAAAGGAUGGUUAAGGUCCCAUUAGUUAAUACUGUUUGCCAUGGAUGCUCCUUGUCAUUAAUUUAUUAGGAAAAUUGAACAGCCAUUUAGGGAGAUUAGCCUGGUAACUGAGGCGCAAGUUGGAACCGGGCCCAUAUAAAGUUGCAUUUGUUGAUCAAGUCUAAUCCGGGUGGCGUUCAGCCCUCGAGUCUCCAUCUUAUACAGAAACGUGAUAAGAGUCGUAAGCUUUUUAAAUGGAGAGAAUCCUUUCCCAGAUGGAAAGCGGGGCUAAAAUGUCUCCCACUUGCGCCGGACCAAGUCCCAAGAUAUUCGAGAUCACUGCGAGGUAUUUGGAACUUUCUUUCCUAAGGGCUGUGGCCCCCAGCAAGCAUGCAGCUACUCCCCCUGCUGAUGACUAAAGGCCUCUCAUAUCACUUGUUUGGAGACAAUAAAGAAAAGGUAACAAGUAGGCCUUGUACAUACCAGCAGCAUGCCAAGGCGGAGGUACCCUAGAGAGGGUCGCAUGUCAAAGGAGGAAUCAAUUAGGCCAAUGAAAGCUCUGUUUUGCCAGCCUAGGUGUCAGAUAUUACGCUGGCAUGAAGAAAUUUGUGGCCUUCAAUAAUGUGAUCUGGUGCUUGAAUUCUGUCAAAUUCCUCUUCACUUUUACUUCAUGGCAUAUUGAUUCUGCACAACAAUGCCAUAAAAGUGAACAUGAUGCUCAUAUUUUGACACUAUAAUUUACUAUUUUAUAUAACGGUGUUUACA